GUGGGGAAUAUUGGGCAAUGGGGGAAACCCUGACCCAGCGACGCCGCGUGAGGGAAGACGGCCUUCGGGUUGUAAACCUCUUUUGUACGGGAAGAAGGAAGUGACGGUAUUGUACGAAUAAGUCCCGGCUAACUACGUGCCAGCAGCCGCGGUAAUACGUAGGGGACGAGCGUUGUCCGGAAUUACUGGGCGUAAAGGGCGCGCAGGCUGUGCUGCAAGUCAGCUGUGAAAUGUCUGGGCUUAACCCGGGCAUGCGGUUGAGACUGCAGUGCUGGAGUGCUGUAGAGGCAAGUGGAAUUCCCAGUGUAGCGGUGAAAUGCGUAGAUAUUGGGAAGAACACCGGUGGCGAAGGCGACUUGCUGGGCAGCAACUGACGCUGAGGCGCGAAAGCCAGGGGAGCAAACGGGAUUAGAAACCCUAGUAGUCC
rnacentral:rRNA from 1 species